rnacentral:rRNA from 1 species
GACGAACCGUGCGAACGUUAUUCGGAAUCACUGGGCUUAAAGCGCGUGUAGGCGGACGGGUGCGUCGGCUUCUGAAAGCCCCCGGCUCAACCGGGGAAGUGGGGCCGAAACGACCCGUCUCGAGGGACGUAGGGGGAUCUGGAACUUCCGGUGGAGCGGUGAAAUGCGUUGAGAUCGGAAGGAACGCCCGUGGCGAAAGCGAGAUCCUGGACGUUUUCUGACGCUGAGACGCGAAAGCUAGGGGAGCAAACGGG